AGAAACCUUUAUUUCCUUUAUUAAACAAUAAAAAUCCGAAUCUCCCCAUUUCAUCCGAAAGAGCCGCAGCUCCUUUCUCUCUCUAAGAUCUCUCUCUACAACCUCUCUCUAAACUCAUCAAUGGCUGCUGCCGCCGGCCAGCCUCCCUCCGUCCACCAAUCCACCGGCCGCCAUGGCUGGUGCACCACUUCCAACCAAACGCCGCUGCUCCACCGGAGAAAGCCCCGCGCCGCCGUCGCCCCUUUCACCCAUUCACCGCUCAGACCAGCGACUAGCGUGCCGCCAACCAGCCAUGCAACCGGCGAAGUCAGCCGGCGAAACCCCCAAAACGACAACACCAUCGCUGCCUCCGUCAGCGCCCAGAUCUGCCAUGCUCCACCAGCGAACGGCGCCGCCGCUGCCUCCUCUCCGUCGCCCUCCUCAUCCGACCGGUCACCGCUGGGACCCGCCUCCAGCAGUUGCGAACCAUCAACGGCAAACUAGACGCGAUUCAACCGCCCCCUCCUCUCACCAGCCAUGUUCUCGUCGGAAUUAAGGACGAUGAGGUUCCCUUUUGGUGAACCCGACUACCAUACGAUGUUUACUCUAAACACACUAAUAGAGAAUGAGUGUGUUGAAGAAAAAGUUGGGAUCAAGUCUCAAGUUUCAGAGUUGAUUGAUGCCCAAGAAAAAUUAAGUAUGGAGAUGGAAGAAUUAAGACUGGAACUAGCUGCUAAGGAUGCAGAAAUUACUCGCCUCAAGUUGAGAGAUAACAGCUAUCAUGACCUGGUGCUUCAGAAGAACUGAAGACUGAAAAUACAGCAUUGAAGACACAAAUCAAUGCUUUGUCUGGAGAGGUCAAUUAUCUGAAUGCAGAAAUCAAGGACCUCACAAAGCAACUUUCGAACACUUACUCUACUGAGAAUGUCAAGAUGGCAAUGCUCUUUAGGUCUCUUUCCCCUAAACCUCCACCCUCUUAAGCCACUCUCCUUGUUACGUCAUCUCUUGAGUUAGUUUCCAUUGUGUUUCCCCUGUGUCCCUGUGCCUGAUCAGUUUAGUUCUUUAUGUUUUUGAAUGACAAUGUAUGGUAACUUUUCGAUUAUGAAAUGAAUGGAACCUUUUACUUGUGUC